AGGAGAAACAGGAAGUUCCCUCUUUUCCCCUCCGAUCCUGCUCCAGUGGCACAAUGUGAUCCACCAGCAAGGAGGUACACCAAUAAGGCAUCCGAUAAGAUAAGUCUUAUAAAAUAUAUAGAUUUAUGAUAAUUAAGACUGAGCUAGCAGAUGAGAAGUCCUAGUCAUUGGCCAAGAAGCUUUGUACCUAAUACAAGUUUCUGUGUAUUCAUUUGGGCCUAACUCGGUCAGGUGGCUGGCCUAAAGCGUACACAUGGCGGUGGGGCUCAGCGGCUUUUGGCGGAAAGAUUUAUCAUUUUCCUUUGAUUUUUUUCUGUUAUUUUGUUCUUGCUCUUUGCUGAGUUUUAAAAAAUGUAGUUAUUAUAUAUAACCAAAGAUAACUGUAAAUAUAUUUUACAUGGUCUAUGGCUUUACUGAGUCUUUCUGUGUCUCUCUGCCUCUCUCAACUGAUGUAUGUCUAUUUGUAUGUGUGCACUGAAUAAUUUUUAUGAUAUUUACUUGUCCAACAAUUCUAGGAUUACUAUUGUCCUAAAGUUGGUGUCUAUUGUGUUUUGAGUUGAUUCAUAUUUUUGUAUCAAAAUAUGAGCAUUUUCAUUAACUUGUGAGGUUAUGGAUUUUAUUAAUUUUCCUUUAGCUGGCUUCUUCUGCUAUCCCUUCAGCAAUGGCAGUGGGGCCCCACUUUAUUAGUGCCAAGUGAUGGUAGAAGUCUAAAUUCUCUAGUUUUCAUUCACAGAUACCAAAUGGUACAGAAGCUUAUAACUGCUGGGCAUGGCUGGCAGUUCUGGUUCUCUGGCUGUCCCUGCAGAUACAAUUCUUGUCACCACUCCCCAUCUGGUCUCCAUUGAUACCAUCUGGUUUCCACUGAAUUCUGGGAGGUGAUCAAAGCCCUCCCUUCUCUUUAGUCUUAUAUGUCAUCAGCCCAAAGUGAUGGAAGGAGGACCCUUGGUAAUUCUAGGUAGGAAUGGAGUUCAGGAUCCUCACUUGAUCCAGGAACACCAUGGGAGAUGCUGCUGCUGACAUGACUGCCAAGCCUUGGGAGAAGCCCUGGUCCCUGCAGCAUGAUCUGCUCUAUCCCAGGGGGAAGCACUGAAUACCUUCAUACAGACUAUUGGGGUGGCGUUCCAAUCUUCCCACACAGCCUUUUCAGCAUCCUGUGACAGCAUCCUGUGAGUCCCACCAGAAUCAAUUUCAGAGGCAAUGAUAGAAGAUUCCAGCAGCUUCCGCUUUCACCGGAAACAAAGACCUUGAGAUGAACAGAACAUGGAAUGACCCACCACAGGAUUAACUAUGACCAAGCAACAGUGAUGGCCAUCUUAGAGAACAGCUAACAUAUGACACCACUUCAAAAGCAGAAACAUUGCUUAGGAAACAAGCAGCAGAUGGAGGGAUUUCUCUGUAUUGUUUUGGAGCCUGUCCUGGAACUCGCUCUGUAGACUAGCCUGGCCUCAAACCUCACAGAGAUCUGCCUGCCUCUGACUCCUGAGUGCUGGGAUUAAAGGCCUUGGUGUUCACAGAAGUGGUGUCAUGCUGAUUCCAAAAGAAAGGUGGCAUAGGAGAUACAGUCUCACAGAGACAUGUUCUUUCACUAUCUUGCUGGUAUUUUCCUCCACCAAGUACAAUCCACCUGUCUACUUCCAAGAAGGACCUUAUCUUUUUAUGAGAGAACCAGUUCUCCUCUUCUAGCUUUAUCACAUGCCAUGUCCUCUUCUAGUGCAAGCACUUCUGUGGAAUUGACUCAAUGGGUUUUAACAUCUGAGAAUGAAGUCCCUCAUCUGACAGUCAAUGCUAUCCAGGCUGAAGUCUCAAAUCCUCAUAACUUUGAACACAGAAUAAAAUGAGUGUGCUCUAAAAUAAGUGUGAGGAGUCCUUCAUCUGAUAAUGCAGCUUCUUUGGCAUAUUUGACAUAGUUAUUCCUUCAAACAUUCUUCUUGGGACUGUUUAGAAUUAAUAUCAUGGAAAUACGAAGUAGGAGGUUCCUUUCAGUAUUUCACCCAUCUCACAGGGUUGAAAUUAAACUGUGGGUUUGACCAAGGUCGUUGGCAGUGCACAAAUGAACAGAACCACACUCUUUAGAGUCAGAACAUUUUAUUUAUGUAACCUCUAGUGAUGAAGGACACUUUUGUCAAUCUGUUUCAUUAAGACUAGGCCUGUUUAUCUUUAAACAUAUUUUCCUUAGUGCCUUGGUCUUCCUGUGCCAAUCGGUGUUCACUGAGUAUAAUGAAGGACACUUAACAAAGGAAAAUUAUUCAUCUAUUCAAAUGUGGCCUGUGUAUCCUCAUGUGUGUUCUUUUGUUUGCAUCAUUCUUUCUCUAGAAUGCUUGGUCC
ensembl:lncRNA